UGGCAUGGCUGUCAAGAAAACAAGAACCCCUGCAGAUGUGAUUGCACAUUUAUUAUAUUUCACUGGUUCACUGGUCAGCAGACUUGUUAUCUAAAGUUACUUUAAGUGCAGAGUUUUCGAGAGACCAUGUUUUUUUUACAAAUUUUGCGGAAAUAAUUUAGCAAGUAAUUGAUUUCCGCCGGCGAGGGCGGAAUCUUUAAAAUCGCCUGGGGAGAUAGAGAGAUAGAUAGAUAGAGACAGCCCAGAGCCUGGACGCCUAAAACUUUCCAGGCUAAAGCCUAAAUUCUCGUUUUGACACAUUUAGUUCUAAGAACGAGGCUAUAUUGCGUUUUAAACCAAUAGAAAUAUAUAUACAAAGGGUAAUUCCCUCCCACCCAGGGAAUUUAUUUAGGUAGCCAGAAAGUUUCAUGUUGGUGAAAAGCAGUUUGCUGAUUGAAUUGAUUUAUUGCUAACUAGCUAUAUAUUUGAUACUGUGAAUACCCAAAUUCUGAAACAUUACUAAAUUUAGCAAGCUUAAGAAGUGGACAUGCCAUAGCUUUCAGAACCAGAGAAUAAUGUGAUGUGAGUGCUAAUAAGCUGCAUAUACCGUAAAAAGUGCAGGGAACCAGCCCCAAAUUGUUCUAUGAUACAAAACAUGUUGGCACGAUUUCAUUGAACUAAUUUUGACCCAACAAUUCACAAUUUCAAGCGUCAUUCAAACGUGAUUUGCAUGUGAAGAUUUGUUGACAGAAGCGGUUAAAAAAAAGAUGGAACAAUGAUGAAACAGAAGAGUUUGCUGAUUUGCUCGAUUACCACUUUUUGUUGGAUGCGUUUGAAAUAAGAAUAUAUUCGUUAAAUACAGAUUAUGAAUUGAAAUAAAAAAUACUUGUGAUAGCCUAAUUUGUAAAGUAUUUUUAUAUAAUUCAGAUUGACUUUCGUGGUAAAAAAUCUCACGAUUAGGGAUUGGUCUAGGCUGAAAUGUCUAAAAAUGUGUAAAUUGUUAUCUUUUUCGUUUAACAUAUAUAUAACUGUACAAUUUUUUUUCAUUUGCAAUCAGUUGCUAGUCUAACAACAACAACAACAAUAAUGAUAAAUAUUUAAAGUGUUUCUAGCCCAGAAAUUCACAAUAACCUAUUGUUAGUGGAUUAUUUCCAUUGGGGUCCACUGAGUCUGAGUGAAGCUAGCUUUCUCACAUUUACGUUUAGUUUUAGCAGGCUUCUAGAAAACUAAUCAAGACCAACGUUGGAGGUAGCUAAGGUUACAGAUCAGAUGAAUUAUUAUUUUCCUUUUAAAAUUUAAUUUUAGAAGUAUAAUAUCGUUGUUCUUUGUUUAU